CGGGUGGGUAAUACAUCGGAACGUGGUCUUCUAUGGGGGAUAACUGCCCGAAAGGGCAGCUAAUACCGCAUGAGACCUGAGGGUGAAAGCGGGGGAGUCGCAAGACCUCGCGCUGGAAGAGCGGCCGAUGCCCGAUUAGCUAGUUGGUGAGGUAAAGGCUCACCAAGGCGACGAUCGGUAGCUGGUCUGAGAGGACGACCAGCCACACUGGGACUGAGACACGGCCCAG
rnacentral:rRNA from 1 species